AUUGAACGCUGGCGGCAUGCCUUACACAUGCAAGUCGAACGGCAGCAUGAUCUUGCUUGCUAGAUCGAUGGCGAGUGGCGAACGGGUUAGUAAUACACCGGCACGUGCCCGGUAGUGGGGGAUAACUAGUCGAAAGAUUAGCUAAUACCGCAUACGACCUGAGGGUGAAGGUGGGUGACCGCAAGGCCUCAUGCUGUAGGAGCGGCCGAUGUCUGAUUAGCUAGUUGGUGGGGUAAAGGCUCACCAAGGCGACGAUCAGUAGCUGGUCUGAGAGGACGAUCAGCCACACUGGGACUGAGACACGGCCCAGACUCCUACGGGAGGCAGCAGUGGGGAAUUUUGGACAAUGGGCGAAAGCCUGAUCCAGCAAUGCCGCGUGUGUGAAGAAGGCCUUCGGGUUGUAAAGCACUUUUGUCCGGAAAGAAAUGGCUCUGGUUAAUACCUGGGGUCGAUGACGGUACCGGAAGAAUAAGGACCGGCUAACUACGUG
rnacentral:rRNA from 1 species